AUUGAACGCUGGCGGCAGGCCUAACACAUGCAAGUCGAGCGGAUGAAGGGAGCUUGCUCCUGGAUUCAGCGGCGGACGGGUGAGUAAUGCCUAGGAAUCUGCCUGGUUGUGGGGGAUAACGUCCGGAAACGGGCGCUAAUACCGCAUACGUCCUGAGGCAGAAAGUGGGGGAUCUUCGGACCUCUCGCUAUCAGAUGAGCCUAGGUCGGAUUAGCUAGUUGGUGGGGUAAAGGCCUACCAAGGCGACGAUCCGUAACUGGUCUGAGAGGAUGAUCAGUCACACUGGAAGGUGAGCACGGACCAGAGUCCUACGGGAGGCAGCAGUGGGGAAGAGUAGGCAGUAGGGGGAAACAUUGUCCAGUCGUAGCGCGUGUGUGGAAAAGGUCUUCGGAUUGGAAAGCACGUUAAGUUGGGAGAAAGGGCAGUAAGUUAAUACCUUGCUGUUUUGACGUUACCAACAGAAUAAGCACCGGCUAACUUCGUG
rnacentral:rRNA from 1 species